rnacentral:tRNA from 1 species
GCACCAGUGGCGCAAUAGGUAACGCGCAGCCCGCCCAAGGCUGGGGUUGUGGGUUCGACUCCCAUCUGGUGUG